rnacentral:misc_RNA from 1 species
AACAAGGCGUACCUGCGGACCUGCGGAAGGAUCAUUACUGAGUGUAAAAACUCCCAAACCCACUGUGAACAUACCACUGUUGCUUCGGCGGAUGCGCCCCGGGCGCGCCCUACAAAGGCGUGCCCCGGAUCAAGGCCACCGCCGGGGGACCGAAACUCUUGUUUUCCUAAGGAUUCUCUGAGUGUGAUUAUUAAAUCAAAUCAAAACUUUUAACAACGGAUCUCAGAUCGGAAGAGCACA